UCCUGGAUGCAGUGGAAGGUUGGAUUGCUUCAGCAGCCCUGAACUGCCCCCAGCUCCCCAGCAUGGUGAUGCUUGGAAGGAAACCCUACAACCAGAGCACACACCCAGCUUCUCCCAGUCAUGCUGUCCUGCAUAAAGGAGUGGUUUCCACUGUGUUCCAUCCAGAUGUGCUACCAUCCCCUACAACUCCCUGCUGUGAUCUCAUCUUGAAGCUGGCUACAGAGGGCUGGGGCGCCUGUGACACCAAGCAGGGCUGAGAAGAGGUUUCUGCAUUCUGGGUGAUGUUUAGACAUUCACACUUCAUCACCCUGUUUUCAUCUGACCCCAAGUGCUGAGGAAGUUGGUAAUGUAACCAUUUGGUCAACCUGACUGCCAGGAAUUUUCCUCUACAACAAAAGGAAAGCCACAUGGGCAUGGCUAUGACCCUGCCUCUGCAAAGGACUCUUUCCCUCCUAUUCUCCACAAAUAUUGAUCUGAAAGUCAAAGGGGAAUGCUUCACUCCAGGCCCUACUGAAGAACUUAUUGGAGACCCAAGUUUCUUUGUGCUUCUUCUCACCUGCAAGCAAUGAACAGCUAAAGGCAAUCCUGCUGCUGAGGACAAUUCUGCUGCUGAGGGCAUCUUUUGAAGGAAAAGGGCUGUCAGCCCAGAGCCAGCAGGCAUAAAGUAUUACAGUUCCCAUUGCAUUGAACAGCAUCCUUUUAUGAGCUGAGAGUAUGCAAGCCAUAAAAUCCAUGGAUGUUUCUGUACUCUGUAAAAUGUGUCUUUAGAUCUGUCCAGGGAACAACAGCUUUUCCAGUUUAUUUGUAUGGGUGGAGCUGAGGAAUGCAUUCAAUGUUUGUUGCACAAUCCCCUGCUACUCUGGCUGAGGGAUUGCUCUUCCCCUGCUACUCCCAGUGCACUGAACCCUCCCUGGUCUAGAGGUUAAUGUGCCAACCCCAAAACCUGGUCUGGUGACCCAAGUUAUUGCCUUGUUGCAUUUGCUCUAGCCACUCUCUUGUUUCCAGUGGUGCCUGUGAGCUCAGAAAGAGAACAGGGAUUUUUCUCUGUCUCCUGCUGGGGCCUGGUGCUGCCCAGCUGUCCCCACUCAGAGCCUGCAGAGCCCUGGCUGCCACAGGACAAAUCCACUCCAGGAGCAAGCCAGAAAAGGGGGAAUGGGCAGGGUGGCAGGUAGAGCUCAUGCCUGUGCCUCAACCCUAAUUGGUUUUCUAAUUUAGGUUCAGGUACUAAUCCUUAGAGAGUCAGAUAAGGAAAAUAAAUACCAAACAUAGAAUAAAUGCAGAAGACACCACAUAACCCUAGAUGAACAGUUUAGUGCUUCUGUGUUGGUAUAGAAAAGUAGAAGCAUCCCCAGGUUUUUAUGGUUUUCCUCUAAGGGCAGUCCAAUGUUCUGUCUUCAUUGAAUUUUUUUUUUCUUACAAAGUUUCUGUUGUAAACUAGAAAACAAUCUCCCUUUUGUGACCCUUUUGGCUAAGGUGGAAAGUGUUUGUGGUCUGCCUCAACUAAAACAAUAAUGUGAAAUUUUAUCUAAUCAUCUAGUGUGAAAUUAGUCAGAUGUGACAUUUUUGCCCAUGUGAUCAACUUGCAAUCAAGGAACACACUUUCAGUAAAUGAACAGGUAGAAUUUCUCUAGAUUUAUUUGUCAUUGCACUCUUCUAUCCUGCUAUGGUGUCAAAUAAGUUAGAGAAUUAUCCACAGUCCACCCACCCCCUUUUUCUGCCCCACAAAGACAGUUGCAUUUAUGGCAAAAGGAUAAAUAUAGCCAGAAGCUGAGAGUAAUGAGCUGAGCCUUAGUCCAUCCAUUGGAAGAUCCUUGAAGAGAAUACUUUGAUCCAUAACAACAUUCUUGGUGAGAAAAGAGGCACCACCUGAGUCUCUGCACAGCCAGAGCCAGGUGCUGGUUUGAUGUUUUUGCGCUUAGAUGGAAACAAUCCCUCAGGGAAAGGAUGCAAUGAAAACAGCCCAUGAACUAGUGGAAUGAGGUCAUGUCUAGAGAGCUCAAAAACAGAAAUUGUAGCCAUGCAAUGUAAAGAAUCCAUUAGUUAAAGACCCCACUGAAACUCCUGUCAUGCCUUACCAAUACUAAGAUUUCUUCUGUUUCAGGAGCUUUGUUGUGGUCUCCUUUAGGCUGUGAGUUUUCCUUUCAUGUAUUGGAUAUUCCUGCUAAUGUCAAAGCUGAUUGUCAUGACUGUUUUUAAAUUGUUUAAUGGCCACUGUAUUGGAGUUUAAAUAAUUCUGUACUGUAUUGGGGUUUGUGGCAAGGCUUUGGUGAAGACACCAGAAGCCUCCCCUUUGUCAGACAAAGUCAAUGUCACCUGGCAACAAAAUGAACCCAUCACUGGUUGAGGAUGAGGCCAUCAGAAACACCACCCCCAUAAACACCACCCCCAUCCUCACAAAAACCUUCUGCAUUUUCUGCAGCUGACUACAGCCCAAAUAGCACUGAGAAGGGGAUAUGUUUUCCAUGCAUUUGUGCUAACACACACUAGUUUUUGGAAAAGUACUCCUCCAAACCUGCAAAAAAAUUUGACGCUACCCACUUU